rnacentral:rRNA from 1 species
CACGCCGUAAACGAUGUCAACUAGCCGUUGGGGAUAUUAAAAUCUUUAGUGGCGCAGCUAACGCGAUAAGUUGACCGCCUGGGGAGUACGGCCGCAAGGUUAAAACUCAAAGGAAUUGACGGGGGCCCGCACAAGCGGUGGAGCAUGUGGUUUAAUUCGAUGCAACGCGAAGAACCUUACCACUCCUUGACAUCCUCAGAACUUGUUAGAGAUAACUUGGUGCCUUCGGGAACUGAGUGACAG